AAUAAGGUAAAGUUGCCACUGAAGACAGCAGGAGCCUGUUGGCUUAAUCUUAUAUCCUGCCGAGGUUGGACAGAUCGCUGACAUAAGUUCAGCUUUCUUAACCUCUGUUGCGGCAGAGGUUUUUUUGACUGGGUG
rfam:Peptococcaceae bacterium CEB3 CEB3_contig000062, whole genome shotgun sequence.